rnacentral:rRNA from 1 species
CACUAUGCUCAGCCCUAAAAUUCGAUAGGUCACUACGCCCCCUAUCCGCCCGGGUACUACGAGCAUCAGCUUGAAACCCAAAGGACUUGGCGGUGCUUCACAUCCGUCUAGAGGAGCCUGUCCUGUAACCGAUAACCCCCGUUAAACCUCACCCUCCCUUGUUAAUCCCGCCUAUAUACCGCCGUCGUCAGCCUACCCUGUGAAGGACUAGAAGUGAGCAAGAUUGGUAAGACCCAAAACGUCAGGUCGAGGUGUAGUAUAUGAGAGGGGAAGAGAUGGGCUACAUUUCCUGAAUCAGGAAAUACGAACAAUGAACUGAAAUAAGCAUUAGAAGGUGGAUUUAGCAGUAAGCAGAGAAACAGAGUGUUCUGCUGAAAUUAAUGGCAAUAAAGCACGUACAUAUCGCCCGUCACUCUCCCCGAGCCUAACGUAUUCUCAUGUACCUAAAAAGUCACAUCUGCAAAGGGGAGGCAAGUCGUAA